rnacentral:tRNA from 1 species
GCCCCGGUAGCUCAGUGGAUAGAGCGGCCCCCUCCUAAGGGGCAGGUCGUACGUUCGAUUCGUAUCCGGGGCGCCA